CUGACCUCAAAUCAGGCGGGACUACCCGCUGAACUUAAGCAUAUCAAUAAGCGGAGGAAAAGAAACUAACAAGGAUUCCCCUAGUAACUGCGAGUGAAGCGGGAWAAGCUCA
rnacentral:rRNA from 1 species